UCCGGCCCGGCGGCGGCAGCAGCAGCCUGUGAAGAUGGCGGACAUUUUGCUUUUGUAUGGAGGAGAGAGGCUGAGGGCGCUGCUGAGAUGGAGGAGGGGGGGGGAGGAGACGGGCGGGCCGUGAUUCACCGCCCCGGCGCAACGAGGGGCGGCCGCGCUCCGCCCCCCGCGGGGCGGUGGCUCCGGCGGGGCCAUCACCGCGCUCGGGCCCCGCACAGCCCUGAGACCCCCGGGACACGCGGGCAGGGUGGGGCAGGACCCCGGCGGGCAGGGCAGGGCAGGGCGAGUUACCCUUCAUGGCCACGGGGCAGCGCGGAGCCCUGGCUCGGCUGUGGGUGUGGGACAGCACCCGCGGCUGUUUCCGCCUCUGCGAUUCACGAAGGCACAGUGUUGGGGUUGUGUGCCCCCCUCCCCCAGCCCCGUUCAUCCUGCUGAGCACGGUAGCCUGCACCAGUUCUGUGGAAGGUGCUCGCAGCCGUCGCUCCGUGCAGGGUCGUGGUGAGCUGCAUGUGGAGACAUCGAAUCAUCAAGGUUGGAAGACACCUUUAAGAUCACCAAGUCCAGCCAUCAACCCAGUACUGCUACUGUAAUUCCUAAACCACUAAACCACAUCAUCCAGUGCCAGCCUCUUAAACACCUCCAGGGACAGUGACUCUGCCACCUCCCUAAACAGCCUGACUCCUGAGUCAUGGAAAUUUUCUUUUUAAUAUCUAAUCUGAAUUUCCUCUGUCCCAGUUUAAGGCCUUUAUCUCUGGUCCUCACUGCAGGCACAGCAGAAGAGACUGGCCCCUAUCUCACUACAGCCUCCUGUAAAGGAGUUGUAGAGAAUGAUGAGGUUUGCCCUCCUUGAGCCUCCUUGAGAGUAACAAGUCUGUUUGGCUGGCUCUUGUCCCUGUUUUCUCAUUCCUUGAGUUUGAGGCAAGUAUGGCCAUGCCGUUCUCAUCACAUAAGCUACACCACGAGGUUUAGGCAAAAAAAACAAACCGAAACAAAACGAAAAACACCAUGGUGCUGCAUCUCUUAUGCUGUAGGCUGCAGUUUGCUGAUAGAAACGUCCUAACUUAAAAUACUUAGGUAAAGUGUGUCACAGAAAGCAUUGCUAUGGGAGUUUUAGAAUCCUCCUUUAUAGUCCUGGAUUAGAACUAUAUUUUCUCAGAGUAAUACACCAUUUGUCAUAACUGUUGGGCUGUAGACCCAUGCUAUGAAGGUCAAAGAAGUUCAUAUACUGAUACAUUUUUGGUCAUCCUAAAGAAAAAAGGAAAAUACUUUCUAGAUCUCCCUGCUAGAACUUCUUGAGAAGUUUUAAAAAAGGAGGUGUGGAGGUCAUUUCUGUGAAUUGAAACCAUCAUUGACCUAAAGAAGCUUACUGUCAAAAAACCUACAUUGCCUAGGAGAAGUGUUUUUUAGACAAGAUGUGUGCACCAUUUGCCCCAUCUCUGUUUGUGGCUGGAUGAAAACCCCAAAUCUUAGUUAUGCCAGUGUUAACUGGAUUUCUUGUGUCCUAGAUUUCUUUUAUCCUAGUUUUUUGUCAAAUAUUUUACAAGUGUAUCUUACGUUUGAGAAAUGAACUUGCUCUCUGCAGUGGCAGCAAGCAUACUGGUGAUUUAAUAAAAAAAUUACUUUGCUGCUGGAGAUCUGUGUGGUAAUGCUACAGGUUAUUACCACAUCUGUACUCGAAUUUACUGUGGAAGAUCCUUGUGUUUAAUGAGCAUCUGAGUGUUCACACCUUUAGUAAAUAGUAAUUGAAAUAAAUGGGACUGUGAUGCCCGUCAUAGCAUUCAGUCAUAUUGAAUAUGCAUUAAAUAGUCAAGGAAAA